UUUAAUUCGUGAUUGUGGUUCGAAAAAAAAAGAGGGUUAUUUUUUAACAAAUAACGUAUCCUUGUUAUAUUUUGAUAAUUUUUAUUGAGUAGUCAUAAAUUAGAAUAACAAUACUACAUUAACAUACAACUAUUAUUUUAAUUCUUAGAAUUAAAAAUGUAUGUAAUCUUCUAUGCGUGUAGCAGAAGCAAACAAUAAUAGGUAUCUAAGGUAAAGUUAUUAUAUUAUUUAUGAUUGCUAUGAGAUCAUGGAAUAAUACAGCAGUAGGUUGUGGUAAUUCUUUAGCCUUCUAUAUCGUUGCUCAGGGAUCUAUUUCAAAUUGUAGCAAAACUAUCGCGGUAUAAUAAAACUACCACUAAAAUAGUCGUCAAUUAUAGAGUAACAAAUACAAUUUAUAGUUCGUGAUGAAAAUUAUCAGU